CUGGUUGAUCCUGCCAGUAGUCAUAUGCUUGUUUCAGAGAUUAAGCCAUACGUGUCUAAGUACAUACCUUAAAACGGUGAAACCACGAAUGGCUCAUUCAAUCAGCUAUGGUACCUUAGAUCAUAUAUACUACAUGGAUAACUGUAGUAAUUCUAGAGCUAAUACAUGCAAUUAUGCUCUGACCCGCAAGGAAAUGGGUGCCUUUAUUAGAACAGAACCAACCGUGGGCACUUUCGGCUGUCUCUGUUGAAUUCUGUGAUGACUUUGGAUAACUUUAAUGAUCACAGUCGGCCUUGUGUCGGCGACGAAUCUUUGAAAUGUCUGCCCUAUGAAUUUGUUGGUAGGUGAUCUGCCUACCAUGAUAAUAAUGGGUGACGGAGACUCAGGGUUUGAGCCUUAAGUUUUUUAACGAGAACCAAUUGGAGGGCAAGUCUAGUGCCAGGAGCCGCGGUAACUCCAGCUCCAAAAGCGUAUAAU
rnacentral:ncRNA from 1 species